rnacentral:ncRNA from 1 species
CAAAAGUGUGAUUUUUGCUAAAGAGUGUGCUAUAUAGAUAAUAAAUAUAUGCAAAUUUUAGGUGAAAAAAUAUACAUAGAGUGGUUUUAAGUGAGGCUAUAUAUAGUAUUAAUAUUAUGAGAUAAUUCUUGAAUUAGUAAAUUAUAAUAAAUUUGAGUAAAUUUUGUGCCAGCAUUCGCGGUUAAACUUAGGAGUUAAGUAAAUUAUAUUAGUUAAAGUUAGUUGAAUUAAUUUAAGAUAAAAUUUUAUGUUAAUAAAAAGUGAAAUUAGAGUUUAAAUAUAAAAGUUUAUUUAAGUGUAAAAUAACGAAGCUUAUAAAAUUAAGGUAUGAAAUAGGAUUAGAUACCCUAGUACACUUGAAUUUAAUUCCAUAAAACUAAAAUAUUAAAAGUUAUGUUCUUUAAAUUUAAAAAAUUUGGCGGUAUUUUAGUCUUGUUAGAGGAACCUGUUUUAUAAAUGAUACUACACGCAAUAUCUUGCUUGUCUUAGUAAUUCAGUUUGUAUACCGUCAUUAUAAGAUAAUUUAAGAAAGAAUAUUAUUAAAAUCAAAUUUUUUGAAUAUAUUAGAUCAAGGUGCAGCUUAUAGGCAAGUAAAAAUGGGUUACAAUAAAAUAUAUUUAUAUGAAUUAGGUAUUUAAAUAUAGCUAUGAAGGAGGAUUUAAUUGUAAAAUUAAAAUAGUAAGUUUUUUUGAUACAAGCUCUAAAUUAUGUACAUAUCGCCCGUCGCUUUCAUUUAAGGUGAAAUAAGUCGUAACAUAGUAGAGGUACUGGAAAGUGUCUCUAGAAUUUU